UUGAUCCUGGCUCAGGAUGAACGCUGGCGGUCUGCUUAACACAUGCAAGUCGAACGGAACCUUCGGGUUUAGUGGCGGACGGGUGAGUAAAGCGUGAGAAUCUGCCUCCAGGUCGGGGACAACAGCGGGAAACUGCUGCUAAUCCCGGAUGAGCCUAAGGGUAAAAGAUUUAUUGCCUGGAGAGGAGCUCGCGUCCGAUUAGCUAGUUGGUGAGGUAAGAGCUUACCAAGGCAACGAUCGGUAGCUGGUCUGAGAGGACGAUCAGCCACACUGGGACUGAGACACGGCCCAGACUCCUACGGGAGGCAGCAGUGGGGAAUUUUCCGCAAUGGGCGAAAGCCUGACGGAGCAAGACCGCGUGCGGGAGGAAGGCCCUUGGGUCGUAAACCGCUUUUCUUAGGGAAGAAGCUCUGACGGUACCUAAGGAAUCAGCCUCGGCUAACUCCGUGCCAGCAGCCGCGGUAAUACGGAGGAGGCAAGCGUUAUCCGGAAUUAUUGGGCGUAAAGCGUCCGCAGGCGGCUUACCAAGUCUGCUGUCAAAUACCAGAGCUCAACUCUGGGUCGGCGGUGGAAACUGGCAAGCUAGAGUACAGUAGGGGUAGAGGGAAUUCCCAGUGUAGCGGUGAAAUGCGUAGAGAUUGGGAAGAACACCGGUGGCGAAAGCGCUCUACUGGGCUGUAACUGACGCUGAGGGACGAAAGCUAGGGUAGCGAAAGGGAUUAGAUACCCCUGUAGUCUUAGCUGUAAACGAUGGAGACUAGGCGUGGCUUGUAUCGACCCGAGCCGUGCCGAAGCCAACGCGUUAAGUCUCCCGCCUGGGGAGUACGCACGCAAGUGUGAAACUC
rnacentral:rRNA from 1 species